GUUUACCCCCUUUAGUGGGUAAUAUGUUUUUUCUACCCAGAGCCAGGUUAUCUAUAUUGGCAUUGGAAAAGGUGAGCAAAUUACUAUCUGGUUUAUUCACCCAUACAUAAUAUCUGGCUUACUACACUAGAAGCAAUUUAUCUGUGUUUUCCUUUGAGCAUACAAGGAAAGAAAGAAGAAGAGGGAGGGUGUCACCUUAAUACACCAAAGUGGUUUUGAUUUGAGCCAGUCCUAUACUUGGCUCUUUAUUUGUGAGUUUGUUCUUUAUAUAUUUUUGUAUUAGCUAUACAGUACUUAACAUACUUCACCAUUAGAAUUUUCUCUCUCCAUUUUUAUAUAUGUCCCCUAUAUUAAGGGGUAAGUAUUUGUAUACAGCACUCCACUUAAAAGGGACACUAUAGUCACCCAGACCACUUCAGCUCAAUGAAGUCAUCUGGGUGCCAGGUCCCCCAUUUUUUAACCCUUCAGAUGUAAACAUAGCAGUUUCAGAGAAACUGCUAUGUUUACAUUGCAGGGUUAAUCCAGCCUCUAGUGGCUGUCUUCCUGACAGCCGCUAGAGGCGCUUCUGCAACGCUGGAUGUGAAAAUCGCAUUCAGUGUGCAGAAAGUCCUUAGGAAAGCAUUGAGAAAUGCUUUCCUAUGGACUGUUUGAAUGAGCGCACGGCUCUUGCCACGCAUGCGCAUUCCGCUCCACUCGGUAGCCAACGUCAGAGUGGGAGGAGAGGUCACCAGCGCCAAGGGAGGGGGACCCUGCAGGUGGGAGGGACCUAAGAGUUGUAUAGUGUCAGGAAAACAAGGGAUUAAUGGUGGAUGUUUCAUUUUAACUUCCUUUUAAUUCCCUUUUUUUUUCUUUAUCUGAAUACUUGGUGGAUUAGAGAGAUCUGUUGUAGCAGCUAAUAGUUUGGCAUUUUGAAUAGUUUUAUCUUAAGUGCCAAUUUUUAUACACAGAGCAAUUUUUCACUAAAUAUAUAGUAGAGGCUAACCCUAAAAAACUCACAUUUGUAACUGCUGCCAAAGAUGGUUCUACCUGUAGAUUAAUUUAUGGGAGGGGGAACGCUUAUGCAAUCAAUAUGUGUUUUUUAUUGUUUAAUAACAUUCUUUCAUCACAAUAAAAAUAUAUUGCAAUAGAUUCUUAUGUAUCUUGUGUAAAACAAAUGGUAAAAAAAUAUGAAUUUAUUCCAGGCUAUAAUACUACGAACUAUGAAAACAUCCUAUAAGAGUGUACUUAUUCAAGGCACUGUAUAAAUAUAGGUAUAAUUAAAGUAUUCUCGGACACAUUCUAAGAUGACCUGCAUCCAUAUGUCUCUGGUUUAUUUUUGUUUUUCUUUUAAAGAAGGAAAGUAUUAGUAGGUUUGGCUUCGAAACAUAAUAUCAUCAAAUACCAAAUUGCUUCUAGCAAUGGCAAUGUAUUUCUAUUUUUUUUUUCUUUUGACAGGAACAUGUUCUUUGCCAAAUCGGCCUAAAAAUUUAGACUAUGGAUUCUUCUUUCCUUUCUUUCAAAGUCUGCAUAUAAUUAUAGUUAGAAGUGGUUCACAUACAUCUGUUUACAUAAAUGUCUAUAGUGCAGAGCAAAUAGCACAUAUAGGUACAUUAAUCUCAGAGUGACUCUAUCCAUUGCAUGAAAACGCAGACUGAAGGUAUCCUUUCCUCCAUAACAUGUUUGUAUAGUCUGGCUCUGCGGUAACUGUGGAGAUGGCAAGAUGUUCGAAAAUUCCUCACUGUACUUUUGUCCUUGUGGGUUUAUUAGGAUAUACAAUACCACAAGGAUAUGAUUCCAACAAAAUAGAUUGAGUUUCUUGUUGUCCAAUUUGCGCAAAAAAUGUGGUCAUUGCAAAUUAAUCCAUUCACUGUCAAAUAAGCAUAGCUUUUCAAAAAUGUAUUCUCGCUGAAAAUAGUCUACAUUUGUUUGCAAUAUUUCAAUACAAAAAUCUAAAUAAAUGGGGAUAAUGAAAGCUCCCCCUUUUAAAUCGAGAAGGAUACAACACUCUUCCUGUUUCCAGACAUGCAUGUGUCCAGUCAGAAACAAAAUCUUUCAAGUAAUUGGCCAUGUGACUAUAUGAAACAACCAGCAAAACACAAUGAAAUCUCUAAUGACAGGAGGGUAUAAAAUGGUCAUGUGUUCUGUUGGAGCCAAUGUUUCUCAAAGACAGGCUAUGUUAAUUUAUUUUUUCUUUGCAUUUGGGUUUCCAUUCUUUUCUCUAUACAGAACUCAACAAUACUGUGUUAAAGGGUUUUAUAGUUAAAGAGACACUGUAGGCACCCAGAUAACUUAGUCUCGUUGAAUUGGUCUGGUGGCAGUGUCCUUGUCCCCGUUAUUCCUGCAAUUUUAAACUGAAGUGUUUACAUUGCAGUACUAAGACUGCAUGAGGACAUCCACCGUCAGAGAAAGCCUCAUAGGAAAGCAUGGAGGCAAGGCUUUCCUAUGAAGAAGGGCUAAUAUGCGGGCGCUGCAUUAGGUCCAUCCUGUGGCUGACGUGAGAGGUGGAGCGCGUACCCAUCACCAAGGUACAUCAGCGCUGGAAUCGGGUAAGUGAAUAAACGUUUUUUUUUUUCCCUUUAUGUGCCACAGAGAGGUCACCAAAGGGGUGGAGUAGAGGGCACUAUAGUAGUAUAUAUGGAAUACAGCUCUCCUAACACUAUAGUUUUUCUUUAAUUGAUGCUUAUUUUUUUUUAGCAGAAAGUGAGGACUCAAGUCAUAGUUUUAAUAAUGGUUAAUAAUGGUAUUAACUAUUAUAUAUUUAUUUAAAAUGGUUGAGAUAUACAUUUCCAUGUCCACAAAUACACACUACAUCCCAUAUACCAACACUCCCAGUGCUGGAAGGGCAUGCAGAGGUGAACCUAUGUAGACUCCUAGUAGAAUUAUUUUCACUUUUGAGUUUUUUGUCUAAAUCUAUUCAAACCCUUCAAUUUAGUCCUCUAAAAUAGAUUUAUUCCACCAAAAAAAAAUCAUAAUGUCUAUAUCUUAUCUUUUUUCCAUUACUUUUUACUUUGUAAACUUGUCAUGCCAAGUUCCCAAUCUAAAACAAUUUCCAUUUUACUUACCAUAUGUCAUGAUUUCCUUUCCCAAUUUAAGACACUCAUGUAAGGUUAACUGAGGUCCGGCAUUAGGAACAAUUAAAUCACUAUAAAAACAUUUCUGCAUGGUAUGCCACGUGAUUUCCCAGAACCUUAGUUUACCUACAGUAUCAUGCAGAUACUAACCAUGCAUAUGAUGCACAGUAUAGAACAGGCUUUGCUAGGUAAACUAGAAAGGUACCACAAAAAACUUUCACCACUGAAACAUAAAUAUACAUCAACAAGCUGUAUUAUCAUUUCCACUUGCUAUUCUUAUUUUUUGCAUGAACUUUAUUUUUUUUUUUCAGGUAACUUGUUUAUUGACUAUGCAAACCCUUGCAGAAUAAUGCCAUUGAAUCAACUUCCACAGCCAGACAGCUGAAAUCGGACCAAAUCCACUGCCUGGAUUUAAAAAAAAAAACAUCUGAACUAGUGGCUUGCCGGCAGCUCUAGCAGUCUGAGGACAAAUACUUAAAUAACCCUCGAUGGCGCGAGAUUUAAUUAUGUGGCGACUGUCCAGGGCUUGCUAUAAAUAGAAGCCUAUGGGACCAAUCAGACCCCUAUUACUGUAAGGAGGUUUACACCUCCCUAUUCGCCUAUCUGCCAACUACUAACUUGUUAAAACCAUUGCCGCCCAGUUGCUAGAAAAGCCCCAUUCAUUGGGAUAGGGCUGUGAAAUAAUGGACAUUGGAUGAGGGACAUUAAAACAAGUAAUGGGGGUGGACAGAUCACUGUUCACCCACUGCCCCCUUCCUUGGCAACGUGUGGGGGCUAUUUAAUAAAAUAAAUGGAGAAAACAUCCUUAUGCCCAAUGAUACUGGUAAGAAUUUAUAUAUUUUUAACAGGUAUUAUAUUUAUUGUCUCCCCUCAAUACUGAACGGUCAACGUGGGUAGGUAGGGUUAUUUAUUUUUAAUAGGGUGUGACUACAGGAUUGGAAAAUGCUUGCCACUCGGGGGUACACUAUGAUCCCUGCAAUACUUCACAGGUUCUAUCCCCAUGAGAUGGGGUCUAUUUUAGUGUCUGGGCAGCAAUGACUGUCCAGUCCCUAGUUUUACCAAAUUGGUAGAUGUCCCUCUACCUGCCGCAUGGCAAAAUGGUGGGAAAUAACAAGGUUUAAAAUCUUCCUUACAGCAAUAUGGUGGUCUUAUUGACCCCCACAGGCUUUUAAUUUGUUUAACUUUUUAAUGUGGUGGCUGGCUAGCCUUCAAAUAUUUGACCCUCAUGCUGCAGAGGGUCAAUCAGACAUCAGCAGUAGUUCAGGGGAUGGAAGGCAAUGAUUUUAGACAGCAACAUCAGUUCAAGCAAGGGACUGGUGGAAGGGAUGGAACAAGGAAACAAACUUUAAUCCCCACCUUUUUCCAGCAGUCUAACGUGAACUGAAUAAGGACACGUAAUCAUAAAGCACGGCCAGCAGUCUGACCAGCCCAAGCUAAGAUAUCCCACCGUGACAUCCAUUAGCCAGUCCAGCACUGGUAUUGUUGGUAUAGGGGAUGUAUGUAUGUAUGUGUUUAGAUGUAGUGUGUAUGUAUUUGUAUAGAGGCUGUAUGUGUAUCUACCGGAGUUCUGUGGAAGUGUGUAGCGCCAGUAGAGUGUAAAGGGAAUAGGGGUUUCAGGAAGCCAAGGGUGAGCAAGAUAUUUAAAAAAAAAAAUAUAUAUAUAUAUAUAUAUAUAUAUAUAAAAACAAUUUUAAUAAAAUGAACUAAUUAUUAAAAUAUAAGCGUGUGCCCCCCUCACUUUGUUACCUUUUGCCAUGGGUGGGGGGGGACAUUUGGUGGUCCAGUGGUCUGAGCGAACUUUGUGGCUAGUGCAGAAUAUAUGUUUAUUCUCUGAGCUCCAACAUGGUAACCUGCAACAACACUUUCAGUGACUGGAGCUAAGUAUUUGACCCAACAGGCAUUUGCCAGUUUGUCUGAUGGCCAGUCUGUACCUGGUUCAAAGUACACAACAGAAGUUCAAUAUCAGUAUCAGUAGGCACUUUGUGGAGAAUCACAAUGACAUGCACUAUACAUCGCAUCAUUGCUGAAACCAGAUGGAACCCACAAAUGGAAUUGUGGGAAAGUUAUUGAAUUAGCAUAUAUUUGACUUAAAUUCCUUUCUAUUUUAGUACAGAAAUACAUUUAAUUACAUUCAAAUUGAAAACAGAAAUAGAGUUUUGUAAAAAAAUAAAUAAGAACAAUUAAUUGCUAUUUUUGUUAGUCGUAUGAAAAUAUAAACAUGGCCUAUGUCCAUAUGUGAUAGUACAUCUUUAAAAAAUAAAUAAAUAAAAAAAUAAACUCUUUGCAAUGACAUCAUUUAUGUGGAUCUGCUUAAAAUAAUUGCCUGGUUUGUGCUCUUUUCUUGCGUCUGUAGCAUUUUCAAGCUUAUUUUCUUCAUUGUAUUCUCCUUUUCCAGUCAGGGUUCAUUAUCUGUAUGGGAGAGCAGAACAGUCUUGUUGUCAUUCUGCUCAGCAGGGGAUACUAAUUGUCUGGCUUUUCUAUCCUCAGCUGAAUGUCACUUAUGCAAAUGCUGUGUAUUUACAGAAUGUGACAAUAACUCAGGCUUAAUAUGGACACAUGCAUAAAGAAUGGCUGAACUGACUUGUGUGCUAAGCUGAGCUGAAAAGUAUUCUUUUAUAUUGGAUGUGCUUGGCAGAUUAUUUGAGUCUGAAAUACUCUGAGGGAAUUUGUACUCUGGAAGAGACUAUGUGUUCUGUUGCUACUUUAUUUAAAAUUAAGCAUCUUUUCCAAGUUAAUCCAUUGUCUGGCAUCUUUGAAUUUCUUAUAGUAUUUCAUUAUAGGGGUAGGAAAGCCACAAAACAUUUGAACUUACGCAUCAGUAGACUUCAGUCAUUAUUAAAGUCCAGCUCCCAUGCUGCUCAGUCAGCCAUUUUCACAGACCAGGCAUUCUGAGAAUUAUGGGUAGUUUGUUCUCUUUAUGUUAGGUGAAGGCACACAAGUUUGAUGAUAGAGUUAUGUGCUUCUGGCUGACAGUGGUUUUAAAAAUACAGCAGAAACUAAAUAUCAGUCAUAUAUAUUUCCAAGCACAAUAGCAAAUGGAAAGACUGUACUGCAAAUAAUUGGAAAAUGAAUAUCUGUCAUUGAUAUUCAAAAUAGCCCUAAAUCUGCUAUAUUAUAGAAGGAUAUGUGUGCAAUAGUUUGGAAGCUUAAGAAAGGUUUCAUUUCAAAUUAACAUUUGCUGCAGGUUUAUUAUAGUAAUAGUGAUGUCUAUACAGCAUUGAAAUUAUAUACUUGGCAUACUGACCUGGGAAUCCCAUUGAGUUAAAUGACAACUGUUACCUCAAAACUAUGUUUUAAUAAAAUAAUGGAAUGGAAAACUGACAGUCUCUAUCAUCAUCUCUGUUUCACACCCUGCAAAGAACUUGGGAGGACUAUAGAGACUAACUGUCAGUUGACAUAAGUAUUCAGACCGUUUGCUAUGACACCAACCAUUUUCUUUUUUUUUUUAGAUGUUUCUAAACUUUGACUAGAGUCCACCUCCCAUUGAUUGAACAUUAUUUGGAAAGGCACCCACCGUGUCUAAUUAAGGUUUCACAGCCGUGAAUGCAUAUCGAAGUAAAAACCGAAGAAUUAGAUCACAAGAAAUGUCAACAGAGCUCAGAGACAGGACUUGGUCGAGGCACAGAUCUGGGGAAGGCUACAAAAACAUGUUGACUGCAUUGAAUGUUUCCAAGAGCACAGUGGCCUUCAUGAAUGAGGAAGUUUGGAAAGACCAAUACUUUUCCUAGAUGUUGCUGCCAGUUCAAAGUGAGCAAUCAUGGGAGAAGGACCUUGGUAAGAGAGGUGACCAAGAACCCAAUGGUCACUCUGGGUGAGCUCAGGGCCGGCGCGUCCUAUAGGAGACUUUGGCAGUCGCACAGCGCUCCCUCCUACCUGUCACUCAGUGUAGCAUGGGCAGGAAGCGCAGACCACGGUACAGGAGUUCUGUUUCCUGUUCCUGG